rnacentral:lncRNA from 1 species
ACUUUUUAGAAAUAACCACCAGAUACUUGAUUCCUAUUGGACGCUAUGUAAAACUAUUUUAUAUUAACUGUGCAUGUCUUAUUUUUUUUCAUUUUCUUUUCUUUAAAAAUUAUCAAUAAAUGCUUAAAAGCUUAUAACAGACUCAAUGUGUCAGUGUCUGACACCACACGACAUUGACACAUGUGGUUACAUUCAAUUAUUU